UGGUUACCAACUUUGUUCCUAAUUUAUUUCAAACUACUCCAAAUAGUAGGAUUUUCCGUGAUCAAGACGUGUACUCAUGUCGACUCUACCAACACAGCCAAAAUACAUACAUCCAUGUGAAAUUUCUUUCCAAGUACGAACACAUUUGAUCUUUAGAGAAGGGUGUUCUCAUCAUAUUAGUACACUUCUUCAUAAAUCUCAGGGAUGAGGGGACAUACAACUUGGAUGCAAUCAAAGAGGAUUUGGAGGAUUGUUAUUUUGGCCUCCUGAAACCUAUGGAUUCAAAAGAACGGAAAAAAUAUUGAAGCACAUCAAUCACUCCAUUCAAGCUUGAAGGUUGCUCUUAAAGAGGAUUUGGAUCUUCUUCCUCAUAGAAUUUGAAGCAAACAUGGUGAUUACUUCCAUGAGUGGCUUUGUGUAAACCUUUAACAUGUUAACAUGUUAUGCAUGUUGGGUGAAAUUGGUAUUGGUAGAGUAUGUACAUGUAAUCUUGGAUAUAUUCUUAUCAUAGGUUUUUUGGUAUCCCACCCCCUAUUUUGUACCAUACUCAUACCCAUUUUUAAUGAGAAGAAAAUAUACCGUUGAACAAUUAUUCCAUGGUCCAUCAUUUAAAAAAACAUAAAUGUGCUUAUAUAUAUCCACAUAAAAUAAUGUAACACAUUUUCGCAAAAAGGAAGGAGAAUGUAAUACAUUUUAUCCUAUAGGGAGUUUGAGAGAGAUCGUUUAACACACAUAUGCAUGUUCUACUUUCAAGUUUACACAUUGUUGUACUUAAGCAUACAAGUCAUCAUGCUAUCUAGAUAGUAGGCUUCAUCUCUCACAAGUCACCUAUGAUUAAUGACCUUGAAAAAGGUCUCCAAUAGUGGACUAAUUAGUGUCGUGUACCUAGUGUACUCAAUAUGGCGUGGUUAGUGAAUGUAAGUUGGCACGUGAGGAUAUGAGCGAAGAGAUGGUAUGGGCGGGUCAAGCCAUGUAUAUUUUCUUAUCGUUGUN
rnacentral:lncRNA from 1 species